CCUACGGGAGGCAGCAGUGGGGAAUUUUGGACAAUGGGGGCAACCCUGAUCCAGCCAUGCCGCGUGCGGGAAGAAGGCCUUCGGGUUGUAAACCGCUUUUAGCCGGGAAGAAAAGGCGCGGGCGAAUACUCCGCGUUCUUGACGGUACCGGCGGAAUAAGCACCGGCUAACUACGUGC
rnacentral:rRNA from 1 species